rnacentral:rRNA from 1 species
CCUACGGGUGGCAGCAGUGAGGAAUAUUGGUCAAUGGCCGGAAGGCUGAACCAGCCAAGUCGCGUGAAGGAUGAAGGUGCUACGCGUUGUAAACUUCUUUUGCCAGGGGACAAAACCAGGCACGUGUGCCUGUCUGAGGGUACCGGACGAAAAAGCACCGGCUAACUCCGUGCCAGCAGCCGCGGUAAUACGGAGGAUGCGAGCGUUAUCCGGAUUUAUUGGGUUUAAAGGGAGCGUAGGCGGGCUGUCAAGUCAGCGGUAAAAGCGCGGGGCUCAACCCCGGCGAGCAGUUGAAACUGGGUGUCUUGAGAUGACAAGAGGUAUGCGGAAUUCGCGGUGUAGCGGUGAAAUGCAUAGAUAUUACGAGGAACCCCGAUUGCGAAGGCAGCAUGCCGGGGUCCGACUGACGCUGAGGCACGAAAGCGUGGGUAUCAAACAGGAUUAGAUACCCGGGUAGUC